GAAGCAACGCGAAGAACCUUACCAGGUCUUGACAUCCUCUGACAACCCUAGAGAUAGGGCUUCCCCUUCGGGGGCAGAGUGACAGGUGGUGCAUGGUUGUCGUCAGCUCGUGUCGUGAGAUGUUGGGUUAAGUCCCGCAACGAGCGCAACCCUUGAUCUUAGUUGCCAGCAUUCAGUUGGGCACUCUAAGGUGACUGCCGGUGACAAACCGGAGGAAGGUGGGGAUGACGUCAAAUCAUCAUGCCCCUUAUGACCUGGGCUACACACGUGCUACAAUGGGCAGAACAAAGGGCAGCGAAGCCGCGAGGCUAAGCCAAUCCCACAAAUCUGUUCUCAGUUCGGAUCGCAGUCUGCAACUCGACUGCGUGAAGCUGGAAUCGCUAGUAAUCGCGGAUCAGCAUGCCGCGGUGAAUACGUUCCCGGGCCUUGUACACACCGCCCGUCACACCACGAGAGUUUGUAACACCCGAAG
rnacentral:rRNA from 1 species